GAUGAACGCUGGCGGCGUGCCUAAUACAUGCAAGUCGAGCGAACAGAUGAGGAGCUUGCUCCUCUGACGUUAGCGGCGGACGGGUGAGUAACACGUGGAUAACCUACCUAUAAGACUGGGAUAACUUCGGGAAACCGGAGCUAAUACCGGAUAAUAUAUUGAACCGCAUGGUUCAAUAGUGAAAGACGGUUUUGCUGUCACUUAUAGAUGGAUCCGCGCCGCAUUAGCUAGUUGGUAAGGUAACGGCUUACCAAGGCAACGAUGCGUAGCCGACCUGAGAGGGUGAUCGGCCACACUGGAACUGAGACACGGUCCAGACUCCUACGGGAGGCAGCAGUAGGGAAUCUUCCGCAAUGGGCGAAAGCCUGACGGAGCAACGCCGCGUGAGUGAUGAAGGUCUUCGGAUCGUCAAACUCUGUUAUUAGGGAAGAACAAAUGUGUAAGUAACUACGCACGUCUUGACGGUACCUAAUCAGAAAGCCACGGCUAACUACGUG
rnacentral:rRNA from 1 species